ensembl:lncRNA
AAAUAAAGGCUCGCCUUCUGUUAAGUCCGGUUUUGUGUCCUCACCUCUGUUUGCUCUUGGGUCCUCCACUCACUCCACACGGUCUGCCCCGGCGGCCCGUGACAGUUUCCCUCUAUUCAAUGUCCUUUUUUGAAGAUAAUUACUGAUGUUUAAAAUAAUUACAUAAACUAAAAUAAUCAGGUUAAAUGUGUUCAUUGUUUCUCUUUCCCCUGAGUUAAAAGAAAAAGAGGCUGAACUCUCGAAGCUCCGUGCCGAGAAAAAUAGAAGAGAACGAGAUGAGAAGGAGCUGCAGACCAUAAAUAGGAAGCUCGAAGCUCAGAAGAAAGAGUUAAAUGAAGAAGUAGCUAAAUUAAAGCGUGGGAAAUAGAAGCAGAUGUCCUGAUGUCCUUCCUGAAUGAAGGAGCUUGAGACCAAAGACAUAAAGUUUGAAGAUAAAAUAACGGAAAUCCAGCAGCAGGAAACAGAUGAACAGCAGAGAGAGGAAGCUGAGCAACAAGGGGAGGUCCUAAAACAGGAGUUGGGAAUGGGAUUUACUUAACAUGUGUAUAUUUGUAAAAUAGAUGCAUUAUUAAUUUAGGAAUUAACAACACAUUUUUAUUUUGAACAUUCAUAAUAAGCAAAAGGUUUUUUUGUUAAAAAGAAGAAAAAUAUAGUUAAAAAGUAUAGUUUAUACAUGAAGCUGAAAACCAUUCUCCGGGGCUGUUCAUCCACAAACUGGCAGCAGGGUCCCUGCACAGUUUAAUUAAUAUAACACCGUGCAUUGUUUGCACAAAAACAAACACAUAUGAUAAAUGUUAGUAACAAAAUAGAUAAAUAAAAUUUUUACAAAAGACUUUUUGUCAUUGUCCUCCAGUCCUCUUGUGCUCACUCACUGUGGAUGUGCAUCCGUAUGUACAUAGUGCUACAUGGCAGUAUGUACAGAUGUUUUUUUUUUUCUCCAGACCUAGAUGGACAAUUUACUUUCUACUCAUUCUUGGUAAGGGAGAUUUAUUUAUGUACAUUUUUUUUUGUUUUUUU